GGUUAGGUGGCGUCUUUGAAGAUG
rnacentral:siRNA from 1 species